rnacentral:rRNA from 1 species
GACGAACGCUGGCGGCGUGCUUAACACAUGCAAGUCGAGCGAUGAAGUUCCUUCGGGAAUGGAUUAGCGGCGGACGGGUGAGUAACACGUGGGUAACCUGCCUCAUAGAGGGGAAUAGCCUUCCGAAAGGAAGAUUAAUACCGCAUAAGAUUGUAGUAUCGCAUGAUAUAGCAAUUAAAGGAGCAAUCCGCUAUGAGAUGGACCCGCGUCGCAUUAGCUAGUUGGUGAGGUAACGGCUCACCAAGGCGACGAUGCGUAGCCGACCUGAGAGGGUGAUCGGCCACAUUGGGACUGAGACACGGCCCAGACUCCUACGGGAGGCAGCAGUGGGGAAUAUUGCACAAUGGGGGAAACCCUGAUGCAGCAACGCCGCGUGAGUGAUGACGGUCUUCGGAUUGUAAAACUCUGUCUUCAGGGACGAUAAUGACGGUACCUGAGGAGGAAGCCACGGCUAACUACGUGCCAGCCGCCGCCGUAACAC